GCGGCUCGUCGCGAAGGCGCGCGCGGCGCUCGAUGCGGCGACGCGUGGGUAGCGCCCCGACUGCGCCGCGGUUGCGCGCCGCGGCGUGGCC
rnacentral:tRNA from 1 species